rnacentral:misc_RNA from 1 species
AAAUGAUUUGAUAUUAUUAAUAUUUACAAUGAAAAUAAUUUAAAUCCUUGAAAUAAAAUUAGCCGAAGAAAUCAAAUUGUUUGUUUGUUAGACUCUUAUAAUUUGGAUUCAGGAAAAUAGAAAAUCAACGAAACUGUUGAGAGUAUAACAUGAACCGGCCAUGGGAGAGGGGAAAUCUGAAUCUCGAGAGAAGAGUAGCUAGCAUGAAGAGCUCCUCAAGACCCUAGGUGAUUUCUUCUUUUUAGAAUGUUUAUUGUGAAGGUUCCUUCAUUCGUAUACUUUCUUUUAACAUAAUCUGUUUUUAAUGAUAUAUUUAAAGAAUGCUUACCAAUCUCCACGCCAGAUCUUCUGCAAGCAUGAUCUUGUAUUUAGCAGAUUUCACACCGAUCAAAGUAUUCCAAGGGCUCUGACAAGAAUAAAUCACAAUUUUAACUACUACAUCCAAUUAAAAACUUCUGAAAAAAUCAACCCACAAAAUUCCUGAUGUAUGAACUAUGGAUCAAAUUUGGGUGAUUGUUAUGGUGCGGGGCAUCCCCUAAACAAUAAGUUCAUCUUCAAGAUAGUUAUACUCAAAAGUGAACUCGGUCUUGAUUCUUUGACACCAUCCAUGUUGGAGGUCAUCAUUGGCAAUAUGGAAAUCAAAGUAAACAUAAGUGCCCAGUUCAUAUUCAUCAGUUGCAACUUUGGGUUCCUCAUGCCGUUGAAACCAGGUGUUGUAUUUUCUGUGGUAUCUCCAGGAUUGCUUCUUUAGCUCUCUUGCAGCCAAAUAUUGCUGAUAGGUAUUCUGUUGGUAGUAGAACGCAAAGAACAAAGUAUCAGUGCCAUAACUAUCAAUGGUUAGCCGUUCCCAGAAUCCAGGAUUAUUUACAAUAGGUGCCUGAACUUGAGGAUAGCUAGGAGGUGUGGCUGCAGGGUGCCUUGGAGUAUAGCUCCUAGCACGUUCCGAGUCUUUAGGUUGAGGAAGUUUGUGAUAUGCAGCCUCAAGCAUCUGCAAAUUGUAUAACUGAUCAUGCAGAGCCCCAGAAUUCACAGCAGAUCCACUGAUAGUAUCACCAAUGGCACCAAGGUCAGAGACACUUCUCCGACCAAUAACACCAAGGGCAGUAGAAGGUUGACCGGAUUGUAUGGGUUGCCCAGGCGAGAGAUCAAUAUCUCUUGGCACUUGGACAGGCUCUGCCAAAGAAGCAGAUGCUCCUGUAGGAGUAUCCAUUGCGUAUGGAGUUUUCAAUUCAUCCUUGUUCACAAGAUUUUUGCUCAGCCCAGAUGUAGCAACAGAUUCAGGAAUUGAAUCAUCAAGUAAAUUCUGAGGUUGCUGCUGCUCCUCGGCGUUCAAAUGCCCAACAUCUGCAUCUUUUGCACUACUUGAUAUCAUAACUUGUUGACUAGACUGUUGAUGGAUGGAGUUUUGCUGCUGUAAGGCAGCAGAUGUAACAACACUGUGACCUGGUGCCUGAACUCCAAGUCCCAGACUAGAUUGAGAAGAGACAGAUGAACUUUGAGAAUUGAACUGCUAACAUAGUCAGAAAAGUAAGCCAAAAAGGUAUCAAACUAAAUUUUUAAUUAUACAGGGAAGCUAAAAAGGCAGAAUAAAUAGGACUGUCAAAAAAUAGCACAAACAAAAGGAAAAAGAAUUCUAUAAACACAAAAUAUCAACCAUCAUCAUGUGUCACCAAGAGCAUGAUCAAAUAAGAGAUGAUUACUUUCUUUUUUAUUAUUUGAUAAAAAACUGUGAAUGCGCUUAUAAUUUUUAUAUUGAAUUUAAAUAAUUUGAAAAGUUAAAUUCAAUUCAUUCAUACAAAACCUAAUUCAAUUCAUUCAUACAAAGAAAAAGAAGCAAAAAAAGAGUACUAU